UCCUCGGUAGCUCAAUGGUGGAGCAUCCGGCUGUUAACCGGAGGGUUGUAGGUUCGAAUCCUACCCGGGGAGCCA
rnacentral:tRNA from 1 species